GACGAACGCUGGCGGCGUGCUUAACACAUGCAAGUCGAACGGAAAGGCCCUGCUUGCAGGGUACUCGAGUGGCGAACGGGUGAGUAACACGUGGGUGAUCUGCCCUGCACUUCGGGAUAAGCCUGGGAAACUGGGUCUAAUACCGGAUAGGAGCCAUUUUUAGUGUGAUGGUUGGAAAGUUUUUUCGGUGUAGGAUGAGCUCGCGGCCUAUCAGCUUGUUGGUGGGGUAAUGGCCUACCAAGGCGGCGACGGGUAGCCGGCCUGAGAGGGUGGACGGCCACAUUGGGACUGAGAUACGGCCCAGACUCCUACGGGAGGCAGCAGUGGGGAAUAUUGCACAAUGGGCGCAAGCCUGAUGCAGCGAUGCCGCGUGGGGGAUGACGGCCUUCGGGUUGUAAACUCCUUUCGCUAGGGACGAAGCUUUUUGUGACGGUACCUAGAUAAGAAGCACCGGCUAACUACGUG
rnacentral:rRNA from 1 species